GUAAAUAAAGACAUUGUGUAAUCAUUGCUAUUGCACUUACGUUUUCAUGUAAAGAGUGUCUUUGAGCAUGUCGGGGUGGGUCCCUGGUGACAUGUCUGACCAAAUGUUAUCCAUGAAAAGGCCAACCACAGUGCCGGCACCUGUUCAUAGAUAAUAUAUGAUGAAACAAUCAUCACAGAACAUGGACAUUGACCAAAGAAACAAGACUCAGUUGUGGUUAUGAAGACAGAAAUUUAACAAAACAAUGAGCGUACCUGGUUGGUUGUUACUAGAUGCUAUAAUGGACCAUUUUCCUAUCAACUGAUUAGAGCAGAGACACAGAUUAAACAGACUGGGAAGGAAUAUACAGGUCUGGAAAAAAUUAAGAGACUGCUGCACCUUUUUCUUUCCUUUCCAAAACAGUCCAAAAGGAAGGUUUAGAGUGAGGAACAGAAGGGUUUAAAUUAAGAGACCGCUUCGAAUUGAACGCUUCUGUUCUUCACUCAAAACUUUCCUUUUUGACUUUUUUGAAAAGGAAAGAAAAAGGUGCAGUGGUCUCUUAAGCUGUAUAUAUUAUUGAAUAUGUGUGUGAUAUUUAUAGACACAUAUAUAAUACAGAAAUGCACACGCUAAGAACAAUAAAAGCACAUAGACAUUAGGGGCAGUGGCGUUUUUAUGUGUAAAAAAUUGGUGGGGCACAAACCAUUUCAAAAUAUACGAUACAUACCAGUAAAGCUACAAAACUCCCUCUUGCUACUGAUGUGUUUAUUUAACACAUCAACAAACAGCGCGGCUCCACAAAACACCUUUAACGACAGAGAGGCUUGCUUCUACCAGGUGUUGUAGUACACAUACUGGAGAGAGAGAGAGACCUUCUUGUGUAAUUUCUCUCCUUCUCUCUCACACACAUGUAAAAUUACCACUGUCACAUUUACAAACCUAAAUUAGGAAUGCAACCAAGCUCAGAACCAAUGUGCCUACAGGGCCAUAUGCAAACAGCAAUGAGCUCAACACCACUGAAGUCUUUCCGCUUUGUUGUGGCCAACUUUUUAGGGAUACAGAUCCAUUCUAUGACAACAGCCUUAAUAGAUAAGCAUAUACACACUAACACUUGUCACCAUCUAUAUCAAUCAAUCCAGCAAAGAAAUAUGACCAAUGCACGGACCAGGCAGGAUGAUAAAAUAUGCUUUCACUGGCUGAGGGCUCACUUGAAGAGAAAGGUGGCAAGGCGGUUCUUCCUCUGGGCAAACUUUUCAAUGACUUUGGGAAUGAAGUCAUGUAGCUGCUGAAUCAGCUGGCUUUCGAUGGACAACAUGGCCAAUGUGCUGAGUCACAGCUGUCCCAUGGUAUUGCGAGGGAAGGUUUUCACCCUAUUCAAGGUGGAAAAGUUCCUCUCUGACUCGGAUGUCGUCAUAGGUGUUGUUAUGAUAAUUUUCAGCAGAGUGACGGUCUCAGCAAAAGCCUCCUCUAGGUUGUUCUCAUGGAUGGAUCUUAACAGAGACAAGGCCGUUUUACCAGUGUGAAGCUCAGUGUGGUGGUACAGAGUGGUCAGCUCAGACUUUUCCUCGUUUCCUAGAGGACAUAGUUUCACCGCACAGUCAAGCUCAGAUGUAGGGAAUGACAGGACAAAUUGUGGGAAGAGUGAAAACCUCUGCUCCACCUGGGAGAUGACUGUGUCGCAUGCCUCCUUCAUCACUGGCGCUGUGUUGGUUACUCGUCAGCCUGGCUCGUCUGUUCCAUCGAGAACGGUGGCAGCCCAUUCAUCAGUUUGUUUCCGCAUAUUCUGGACAUUCUCCUUGAAACAGGUGAGCGCACUACUAAUCCCAGAUGCAUCGAUGCUCCGUCUUUUAUAAGUGUUUUAUAAAACAUAAUAUUCGGGUAUAAAUUUUUGACAGGCCGUAUGCCUCACUUAUGGUGGCCUCAUCCCAUCCUGGUUGUGUGCGUAUGUCCUCCAUACACAGUUCGGUUUUCCCGAACUGCAUUAACAGUUCUACUUUUAAAGUUCCAUCGUACAGCGGGUGGCCUUGGAAUGUGUCUCUGUGUUGCCUCAGCAAGUGCCGCAACACGUUUUGGAGUGCCAGAGAAAAAGAUGGCAAAAGCAGUUAAAUCUGCAAAAAACACCUUCAGGUUGCUGCAAGGUCAGGUUCAGCUGUUGAGCAUAGCAGUGAACAAACUGGGCAUGUGGGUAUGUCUCUUUCAUUAGUGUCUGUACCCCUCGGACGUUUCCACUCAUUACAGCCGCACCAUCAUAAGUCUGAGUGAUCAGCUUUGCUUACAGCUUCAGUGGUUCCAGCACACCCUUGAUGCUAUUAGAGAGGCUGAGUCCAGUUUUAACUUUGACUUCCACAAACUCCAAAAACCUCUCUGUCACUGUAUUGUCAGGCAACAUGUAUCGCAACACCACCACCAUUUGUGAUUUACAGGAGACAUCAGAUUUCUCAUCUGCCUGUAUAGCAACAAAUGAUUCCUCCUCUUGCUUGGCUAUCUCCUCCCUGUACACUUCAUACAUACAGUCUAACAGUUUGUUUUGUACAGUGCUAGAUUUCCCUUUGAAGAUGGGCUGAGCAUCAUGGUGCCUCUGAAGUCUCUAUUCACCCUCACACACAGAUUCAAAAAUGCAUCUGAAUAUUCCAGGAUUCAGGGACUCGUCAUGCCCCGCAGUGUAGUUUCACAUUUUCCACACAGUUUAAUACGUUAUGAUCCAACUGAGAACGUACCUGUUUUCCUCCACCUGUUUGUUAUGCUGCUCAAUGGAGCGCCUGUAUGCACUGUCAACUUGGGCUGUGACAUUCAUCCUUCCAAGUAAGACCAAUUUCACAGCAUUGUCCAGAUGACUCCCGCUGCUCUCAUGUUUUGCAAUACUCCCCGCCCUCGACCAAGUACUUAGCCCCACUAGAACCCCCGAGAGAGAUCCGCAAAGACGUGCCGUUUUUGCCUAAUCACAUGGUUAAAAGGACGUGGUGUUUUUCCAAAAAAUCCUCUCGGUUUUUUCAUAGCUAAUUCAUGGACAAACAGUGCAGGUGCUUAAACUACGAGUCUGGACCUAUACAUUAGUGUUUGAAUUAAUGCCUUUUCGUAGCCUAAUCACUAGCCGAAAAUAUUUUGUAUUUCAACAGUUAUGGUUUCAAACUUUUCUUCAAAUGUUCUAUAGAUACCGCGAUAAUAUCGUUAUAGAUACCGUGAUAAUAUUGUUACAGUACAUACUGUAUGUACUGGUGGGUACAUUUUGGGGAGAUUAGUAUUACAUAUGUAUAUCAUCUGCCUAUCUUUUAGUUGGGAAAUCAGAUAGCAAGACUUCUGCAAUGGGGGGUGGUGGCAGGAGGGGGGCCUCCGCGGCUAAAAUUCACACCUAUGGGAGCGAACGCUAUGCUCCGCGCACUGCUUGAAGGUCUCUUCUUAAAAAGUCCACCAAAGCAUGUUGGAUCAGUUUUGUAUUCCAAGGACCGUCACACAAAAUACUGAAAAUUAUAGGGUAUUUUCUCAAAGAAAUUUGUGCUUACUACUCAAAUGAAUGGCUUUUCUAAAACAGCCUAAGACUUUGCACAGUUCUGUUUAUAUUGAUACUCACCGGAUCUAUGGUUUUCAUCUCUAGAGGUUUCAGAAGAGUCUCGCAGGUUUGAGAAACAGGAGCCGUCUGACACAUUGAACCCAGACUGAAGAUCACAGCAACACACACCACCAACAUGCUGAAAUUACCCACGUAGUACCUAUGUAUAACUAUGUAUUCCUUAUGGCUUCUAAUAUAGCGCCUAUGUAGUGUAGUCUUUAUGUAUCACUAUGUAUUCCUUAUGGCUUCCAGUAUAUUCUCAAUGUAUCACCAUGUAUGUCGUAUAAUAUAGUCCCUAUGCACCACUGUGUAUCCCUUAUGGCUUCUGAUACAGUCUCUAUAUAGUCCCUAUCUAUCUCGUGGUAUACCUUACGGCUUGUACUAUAGUCUCUAUGUAUCACUAUGUACCCCGUAUGGCUUCUAUAGUCACUAUGUAGUCCCUAUGUAACUCUAUGUAUCCCUUAUGGCUUGUCCCAGUGCUUUCUGUCCUCUUGCUGCCUAUGUAAUUAUUUCCUAAAUAUGGUGUCACAGCAGGGUCUUAUACCCUCGGAGGUGC
ensembl:lncRNA